ensembl:misc_RNA 7SK 7SK RNA
GAAUAUCAGGUCGUUCAGGUGAUCUGGCCUGAUAAACUAGGGGUGAUUCAGUCAGUUUGGUCAGCUAGGCAGGUGACUACUUCUUUCCUUAUAACUCUGUAUGUAUUUCUCCUGAAACUGCAGAUUCGUUAAAGAAGGCAACCCUCCUCAACAGAGGUAGACCAUUCUUCUGUGAAAAGUAAAUGAGUAGUGGCACUUCUGUGCUAGAACCUCCAAACAAACUUGCAAAAAAUUAACAUCGUUAUAGUAUAAAUAUUUAACACCUUCCAAUUAUGUAGUGCAAUACUGCUUCCCUU